ensembl:lncRNA
AUCUGGCAACGAGGCUGCGAGGAAAUCUUAAUGAUAUUGGACAUAUUGUUUUCCCCGGUGUACAAGGUAGAGUUGAAAGAUGCAAGUGGUGUUUCUGAUCACUUUCCUUUUGGUCUCAGCUCACUGCACACCAGUACGAGAAUAUCAUUCUGGAAUUCGCGAUGAUUACUUCUUAAACUGGAUGAGGCUCCAUCAAAGAAUGAAAACAUAUAGACUAUUACCGCAUCACUUGUACCUUCAGAGGUUAUAUGAAUUCUUGAAUGCCUGUUGGAAACCACCGAUCAACAGAGCGACUACCAGAGCCCCCAUGCUGCCGUCACCACCGAGAACAGAAAUUGCUCCUCCUCUGACUCCGAGGCCCCCAGGCCCUUUCACCCCAGACAGACGGGGAGACACGUGAUUCAUGAAGUUCUGCAGGGAUUUCAGAGCGAAAGGCAGCUUCUUCCCCCGCAUCCACACCACAGCUGACGAUCCAACACAGCAGCUCUCUGCUCCGUGUCCCACAAGGGACCCUCUUCUGUAUCCUGGCUAAAAUGGCACUUCAUUAAAAAUGUUUCUGUCACUACG